UGAUGCCAGACUCUCAAUGGGGAGGAUGGAAAGAAUCCCAAGAGACCAGUGAAGCAAGAAAUUAUCAAAGCUGCGGUAUUUACGAAGUCACUUUGUGCCAGUGCCCCAGCAAGCUGCCACCAUGGCUGCCAAGCCCUGUCACCCUUGCUGAUCAGUACAGAGAGGGGCUCGCUGCGCUGGGUAGAGGAAGCAGGAAGUUUGCUGAACUCAGACGGAAGAAAAAGGAUUCCUCUGGAGAAUCCCAGCAGGUUUCUGAUUGGACAUGGGUCCAUGUCCUUGUGAAGUCUCCUCCUCCUGAACCUGCCCUGCUCUGUGACUUGCUUUUGACCACCAGCAUGCUGCAGAAGUGAUGCCGUGUGACUUCUGAGUGGGUCAUAGGAAGCCUUGCAGUGUGGCCUGGGUCUUCAGGAAUGCUUGUUUGAGGAAAACCACUGUCAUGUAAGAAGUAUGGCUACCCUGAGACUGUCAUGGUGUGAGGACUCCUAAAUGAGUCACAUGUGGAUGGCCACCUAUUCAGGCCUCAGUUCUUCCAGCCAUUGCGACUGUGGCCCACGCAUGUGGGGGAAGAGGCCAUUUUUCACGCCCAUCCCAGUUGAGUCUUUAGAUGAUCCCUUCCUGGGCCUCCAGCUGACUGUAACCAGACUCCAGGCAGGAACCACAUAGGAACUGAACCCAGUCAACCCACAGGCUGGGGAGGAUGAUAGUCCAUUGUUGUAUAAAGCCACUGCAUUUGGAAUGGUCUGUUGUAUACUACCUAAUCAGAACAAGACUCAAUCCUUUCUUCAUAGCUGGUAGUCUUAAGCAUUUAUUAAUUCAUAUUUUAGUCACAUUAUGAAUUUUCUAUCACAAUAAGCAUUUAUUGAGCACUUUUUAUAGAGGGACUAUGCUAGGCUUGAAGAAUAAAAGACACAUAGGACACGGCCCUGCUUAUGUUCAGGUAGCUGUGGUCUAAACGAGGACGCACACAUAAGGUGAAGACCCCAUGAGAUGGAAUACACGGGGAUAACAAGCCUCACAGUGGACUGGUCGCUUUACCAGGGGUGAGGCGAUUCUGCCUAUAAGGUAGGGAAGGACUUUCUGAAAGGGUGACACUGAGUUCCACCUUGAAAAAUGCCUGAGAAUUCACCCAUAGACACAGUGGAAGAGGGGUGUUCCGAGGAAGGGAGAUCAAUGUGCAGAGAGACAGAAAUCCCGGUUCGCUUAUUCCCAACAAGGCAGAGAACAAACCUCUCCCAGUGAUGCCCUCCCUUGUUCCCGUCCCCAAUCUUUUGAUAAUAGUGGGAAGGGUUUCAAAGUGAGGGUUAAAAAUGGGCUGGUUUUGCCACCCCUUAGUAAGUCUUGGGCAGGAUUCUCAACUCUUGACACUCAUUAAAAUCACCUGGGAAGCUUUUGCAAAACUCCAGCAUGGUACAACUACUUUAGAAACUGGUGUUAUCCAUUAAAACUAAACAUUUGCUUAUCUUAGCAAUUCCACUCCUAGGUUUAUAGAGUAAACAGAAACACAUACGUGCCUGUGUCAAAAAACAUGUAUAGGCAUGUUCAAGACCACACUGUUUGGCCAAGUGCCCUAGUUCAUGCCUGUAAUCCCAGCAUCUUGGGAGGCCAAGGCGGGAGUAUUGCUUGAGGCCAGGAGUUUGAGACCAGCCUGGGCAUCAUAGUGAGACUCCCAUCUUGACACACACACAGUUUUUUUUUUUAAUUAGCUGGGUGUGGUGGCGUGCACCUGUAGUCCUAGCUACUUGGGAGGCUGAGGUGAUAGGAUCCCUUGAGCCCAGAAGUUCAAGGCUGAAAUGAGCUAUGAUUGUGUCACAGCACUCCAGUAUGGGCAACAGAGAGAUCCUAUGUCCAAAACAAAAACAAAAACAAAACAAAAAUACACACAUUAUUUGUAAGAUGUAAAAAAAGGGAACAAUCCAUGUGUAUCAAUAGAAUAGUUAUAUGCUGUGUAUGCGUAAUUAGUGUCUUAACCUGUUCAGGCUGCUGAAUACCUCAACUGGGUAAUUUACAAACAACAGAAUUUAUGGCUCAUGGUUCUAGAGGCUAGGUAGUCUAAGAUGCAAACGUCAACAGAUUUGAUGUCUGGUAAGGCCCUGUUCAUCAUAGAUGGCACCCUUUUGCUGUGUCCUCACAUGGCAAAAGGGACAAACAGGAUUUUUUCAAGCCUCUUUUAUGAGGGUACUAAUUCCAUUUAUGGGGGGAGAGCCUUUGUAACCCAUUCACUUCCUAAAGCCCCCACCACUUAAUACUAUUGGAGAUUAGAUUUCAAUAUAUGAAAUUUGGGUGGGACACAAACAUUCAUACCAUAGCGGGCAGACAAUGUAAUACUAUACAGCAAUGAAAAGAAAUGAACAACAGCGACCCAGAACAACAUGAAUGAACUUUUUUUUUUUUUUUGACAGAGUCUUGCUCUAUUGCCCAGGCUGGAAUGCAGUGACACAAUCUUGGCCCAACCUCCACCUCUUGGGUUCAAGCAAUUCUCCUGCCUCCGCCUUCCGAGUAGCUGGGAUUACAGGCACACGCCACCAUGCCCAGCCAAUUUUUGUAUUUCUAGUAGAGAUGGGGUUUUGCCACGUUGAUCAGGCUGGUCUUGAACUCCUGACCUCGGGUGAUCCGCCUGCCUCAGCCUCCCAAAGUGCUGGGAUUGCAGGCAUGAGCCACUGCGCCAGGCCCAUGAAUGAAUCUUAAAAAUAAAAUAGUGAAUCAAGGAAGUCAGACACAAAGAGUACAUACUCUACGGCUGCAUUUCUAUAAAUAUCAAAAAGAGGCAAAACAAAUGUGUGGUGUUAGAAAUCAGGAGAGUGUUACUAUCCUGGGGAGGAAGGAGAAGACCUGAAGGAACUUGAGGGGGGCUUUGGCCUGCUGGUAGAGCUUUUUUUUUUUUUGUCUCGAUCUAGGUGGUAGUUACAUACGGAUAUUCACGUUGUAAAAGUUUGCCAAGGCUUUAAUGUAAUUAUCUGAUGCAUAUUAUAAUUAAAAUGGAAAGUUUGUUUUAAAAGUACCAGUGCUUGGUCUCCACCCCUAUGGACUCUGGUUUUAUUGCUCUGGGAAGGAGCUC
rnacentral:lncRNA from 1 species